GUAGGGAAUAUUGGGCAAUGGUCGCAAGACUGACCCAGCCAUGCCGCGUGCAGGAAGACGGCCCUCUGGGUUGUAAACUGCUUUUAUCUGGGAAGAAAAAGGCCAUGCGUGGCAAAUUGCCGGUACCAGAUGAAUAAGCACCGGCUAACUCCGUGCCAGCAGCCGCGGUAAUACGGAGGGUGCGAGCGUUGUCCGGAUUUAUUGGGUUUAAAGGGUGCGUAGGCGGCUGAUUAAGUCAGCGGUGAAAGACUUCGGCUUAACCGGAGCAGUGCCGUUGAUACUGGUUGGCUUGAGUGUCGGAGGGGUACAUGGAAUUGAUGGUGUAGCGGUGAAAUGCAUAGAUACCAUCAGGAACACCGAUAGCGAAGGCAUUGUACUGGCCGACAACUGACGCUGAUGCACGAAAGUGUGGGGAUCGAACAGGAUUAGAAACCCUAGUAGUCC
rnacentral:rRNA from 1 species